GAUGUCUCCUGCCAGCUUUAUUAUCUC
rnacentral:piRNA from 1 species